CCCUUAGAUGUUCUGGGCCGCACGCGCGCUACACUGACGGAUUCAACGAGCUUACAACCUUGGCCGAAAGGUCUGGGUAAUCUCCAAAAUCCGUCGUGAUGGGGAUAGAUUAUUGCAAUUAUUAAUCUUCAACGAGGAAUGCCUAGUAAGCGCAAGUCAUCAGCUUGCGUUGAUUACGUCCCUGCCCUUUGUACACACCGCCCGUCGCUCCUACCGAUUGAAUGGUCCGGUGAAGCGUUUGGACUAUGGUUUUCUGAUGGUCCGCCGUUGGAUUACCGUGGGAAGUUCGUUAAACCUUAUCAUUUAGAGGAAUGAGAAGUCGUAACA
rnacentral:rRNA from 1 species